UUGUGCUUUUGAGAACAUCGCACUGUCGUUUUGAAAGUUGCUCAUUUCUAGUAAUUUUGAGUAGCGAAACAUUUACUUCGAGAACAAAACUUUCUAUUUUAAAGUUUUUUUGUCUUCGAAAUUUUGUGGCCUUGAAAGCGAAAAUUUUCACGCUAAGUGAUAAAAUGUUGUUAAAUUAGCUAUUUAUUUUUCUGGUUGGGCAACACUGGCUAUUAUACUCUGGCAACUUAUCGAGCUGUCAAACUCGUAACUCAAGAAUUCCUGUUGAAUUCAAAACGGAAAAAGGGCUCCAAAAAUACCAUCGACGGACUUAAUGGAGCCACAGAUGUUAACGAAACAAAGCUGGCCUCGGAAAAGUGCUUCAAGCAGCAAUCUGGUAUCGGCCGACUGCCAAAAAUUCAACGAUGACUGCGCUUAAUUCUAUCCUUUCCAAGAUAUUCAACAUAGGCCGAGCAUUCGCGACAAGAUUCCGGAAAGCAGAACAACAAUAAACCUCGUAAUAAACAUGGAGUUGACUGCCACCCAAAAUGCGACACUAAUGCAUACAAUCGAAAUAAAUGUGAA